rnacentral:rRNA from 1 species
UACGAAGGGGGCUAGCGUUGCUCGGAAUCACUGGCGUAAAGCGCACGUAGGCGGAUUGUUAAGUCAGGGGUGAAAUCCUGGAGCUCAACUCCAGAACUGCCUUUGAUACUGACGGUCUUGAGUCCGGGAGAGGUGAGUGGAACUCCGAGUGUAGAGGUGAAAUUCGUAGAUAUUCGGAAGAACACCAGUGGCGAAGGCGGCUCACUGGCCCGGUACUGACGCUGAGGUGCGAAAGCGUGGGAGCAAACAGG